rnacentral:rRNA from 1 species
AGUGAACGCUGGCGGCAGGCCUAACACAUGCAAGUCGAGCGGCAGCGCGGGGGCAACCCUGGCGGCGAGCGGCGGACGGGUGAGGAAUUCGUCGGAAUCUGCCUUUUUGUGGGGGAUAACGUAGGGAAACUUACGCUAAUACCGCAUACGUCCUACGGGAGAAAGUGGGGGACCGCAAGGCCUCACGCAGAAAGAUGAGCCGACGACCGAUUAGCUAGUUGGUGGGGUAAAGGCCCACCAAGGCGACGAUCGGUAGCUGGUCUGAGAGGAUGAUCAGCCACACUGGGACUGAGACACGGCCCAGACUCCUACGGGAGGCAGCAGUGGGGAAUAUUGGACAAUGGGCGAAAGCCUGAUCCAGCCAUGCCGCGUGUGUGAAGAAGGCCUUCGGGUUGUAAAGCACUUUUGUUCGGAAAGAAAGCCCGGGAGCUAAUACCUUCGGGGGAUGACGGUACCAGAAGAAUAAGCACCGGCUAACUUCGUG